GCGGGACACGUGGUAUCCUGUCUGAAUAUGGGGGGACCAUCCUCCAAGGCUAAAUACUCCUGACUGACCGAUAGUGAACCAGUACCGUGAGGGAAAGGCGAAAAGAACCCCGGCGAGGGGAGUGAAAAAGAACCUGAAACCGUGUACGUACAAGCAGUGGGAGCCUCUUAAUGGGGUGACUGCGUACCUUUUGUAUAAUGGGUCAGCGACUUAUAUUCUGUAGCAAGGUUAACCGAAUAGGGGAGCCGAAGGGAAACCGAGUCUUAACUGGGCGUUAAGUUGCAGGGUAUAGACCCGAAACCCGGUGAUCUAGCCAUGGGCAGGUUGAAGGUUGGGUAACACUAACUGGAGGACCGAACCGACUAAUGUUGAAAAAUUAGCGGAUGACUUGUGGCUGGGGGUGAAAGGCCAAUCAAACCGGGAGAUAGCUGGUUCUCCCCGAAAGCUAUUUAGGUAGCGCCUCGUGAAUUCAUCUCCGGGGGUAGAGCACUGUUUCGGCAAGGGGGUCAUCCCGACUUACCAACCCGAUGCAAACUGCGAAUACCGGAGAAUGUUAUCACGGGAGACACACGGCGGGUGCUAACGUCCGUCGUGAAGAGGGAAACAACCCAGACCGCCAGCUAAGGUCCCAAAGUCAUGGUUAAGUGGGAAACGAUGUGGGAAGGCCCAGACAGCCAGGAUGUUGGCUUAGAAGCAGCCAUCAUUUAAAGAAAGCGUAAUAGCUCACUGGUCGAGUCGGCCUGCGCGGAAGAUGUAACGGGGCUAAACCAUGCACCGAAGCUGCGGCAGCGACACUAUGUGUUGUUGGGUA
rnacentral:rRNA from 1 species